rnacentral:lncRNA from 1 species
AGAACCUCUGAAUUGGCACGCAGGGCUGUCGGUGUCGGUGAGACUUACACGUUUAUAGUGAGAAUUCUUCCCAGAAAGGGUGACCAAUAACACUGAAAAAAAUAACAUAACCAUGGCUUUCCUUGGAGUAUUUAAAAAUAUUCUUUGUCCAUUUACGAUGACCCGGAAUUUCACACCAUCUGCUGGACGUGAAAUGAAACCCAGAAAGUGAAAGGGGAAGAGACGACGGUCUGCAGGCUUCAGGGCCCAGCCGUGGGCCCAGGUCCAUGUGGCUGCUGCCUUCCCUUUCCGUGCUGUGCGUAGCCUCCUCUUCUCUGACCGCUACCCCGCACCCCCUCUCAUUUCCUCCCUACUUUCCAUGGGGUCUCACUUUAUUUGGAUGACUUUCUGGGGAAGUUGGGUGGGUACCCAAAAACAGAGGCAUUUUCAGCAUGGAAAAAGCCCUUAAAACUAACACUUCAGUUCAUUUGAAUAAAAAAAUCCCCAAAGAUAUCAAAGGCUCUGAAAUGAUAUCAUCUACCUAAAUAUGACGCUUAGAAAAUCUGUGGGGAUGAUGCCUAGAAGCCCUCUAGAAACGCCGCUGUGGACAAGGGCACCCCAACUGUACUAGUGAAAAGUCAGCACAAAAGUAGAUUAACGAGCAAGAGAGUGAGGAAUUAAUGCCUUUCUUGCUAUGUUUCACAGCACACUUAAUUGCCCUUCAAAUUCUUCCUUCACAGCCAUCAGCCUGUAAGCUGGAUCUGGGAGGCUUUGUUUCUGGAGACUUCUGCUUUCUUUGGAAGGCAGGCUCAAACCUGAUCCUCUAUACAACGGUCCCGAGUUAAAUCUGGCCAGUCUGAAAAGCCAGCCAUGCUGGCGAGUGCAUGAAAAUCCUGCUUCAAAGGCAGAGAGCCGGGCUCCACGCGACAUUCCGCACCUUCCUCAGGGUGGCUUCUCCUUCUCCCUGGCCUCGUACCCUAGAACUUAA